UCGUUUUGGUACUUAAUCGUUUACAUAACUCACGGUUGCCCGUCGGUCAUUCGUUCCCGAGGAAUACAAUAUUUUCGUGAUACGUAUUAUAGUCACAUGCUUACAGACAUCUCAGACCCGCCGCCAUCACUAUCCAACCGCAUCCCACUAUCGAGGUCCCAAGACCGAGAGCCAGUGGCCGGGACUAACGUGAUAAGCGGCCAGGCUGUCCGAGCGACGUUUGGACGUAUCGACCCCAUCCCGUUGGGCGGUUACUUAAGAGACGACCAACUACCGCCUCGGGGACCAUCGGGACCGAUUUCGGAAUACAUUUUACGAUUGUCGGCUACCAGGAAGUUGGGUGCUGCCUCCGAGCCCGGGGCCACCCUCUAGCUAUGAUUUCGCUAGAUAAUCAGAUUGAGCAGUAGUAAGAGAGAAUUCAACAUCAGAAUUCAGAUUGAGAUCGUACCGCACUGAUGACGAGUUUAAAGUCGCCAACAAUAAUAAAUUCGUUGUCGGUGUAUUUCGUAUAAAGUAAUUCAAUCGAACAAAUAUAAUAAUCGUAAAUAUCAAGACUGACAGAUGGUGGGAUACAGACUCCAACUAUAAUUAGUUUCUUAUUAUCAAUAGAAAUUAAAAUGAAAAGUUCGAUAUUAUUUAUUGGCACAGAUAACACUUUAGCGGCAUACUUGUUAUUUAUCGCGAUGAGAAUACCUCUACGGCGUGGAUUCGUAUUUUCAUUCCAAUUGAAGCGAAACAGUUCAUAACCAUUUAAACCUAAUUCAGUGCCACGGAAAUGUGCAGUGAGCAGUUGAUUCAGUUAAUAACGGUUAGUGACAGAAUAUUUAUGGGCAGGCACUCAGCAAUACCACACGAACGGGUAAAUUUUAAGUUUUAUAGUUUUUUUUUUUAGUUUUUAUUUUAGUAGGUUUCUGGGCCACUACCUUUUGAGUUUUCUACUUACAUUACCAGGAAGUAAGGUGGAAGAUAGUUGUUUUGUUAAUGGGUUACUGUGAAAGUUUAAGUU